GCUUGUCUCAAAGAUUAAGCCAUGCAUGUCCAAGUAUAAAUCUUUAUACGGUGAAACUGCGAAUGGCUCAUUAAAUCAGUUAUAAUUUAUUUGAUAGUACCUUACUACUUGGAUAACCGUGGUAAUUCUAGAGCUAAUACAUGCAUCAAGGCCCGACUUGUUGGAGGGCUGUAUUUAUUAGGUAAAAACCAAUGCUGGCAACAGCUUUCUGGUGAUUCAUAAUAACUUCUCGGAUCGUAUGACCUUGCGUCGACGACGUAUCAUUCAAAUUUCUGCCCUAUCAACUGUUGAUGGUAGGAUAGGGGCCUACCAUGGUGAUAACGGGUAACGGAGAAUUAGGGUUCGAUUCCGGAGAGGGAGCCUGAGAAAUGGCUACCACAUCCAAGGAAGGCAGCAGG
rnacentral:rRNA from 1 species